UACGCAGGCGGCCUUUUAAGUCAGAUGUGAAAUCUUACGGCUCAACCGUAAUUAGCAUUUGAAACUGAAAGGCUUGAGUUAAGGAGAGGAAAGUGGAAUUCCUAGUGUAGCGGUGAAAUGCGUAGAUAUUAGGAGGAAUACCAGUGGCGAAGGCGACUUUCUGGACUUAUACUGACGCUGAGGUACGAAAGCGUGGGGAGCGAACA
rnacentral:rRNA from 1 species